rnacentral:tRNA from 1 species
GGCCCUGUAGCUUAAAGGGACAAAGUCUGCGGAAAAAUAACUAGCCGCAGUGUGUAUGGAUCAUAUCGUUGUUGGUUUUCCCGGCAAUGAUCAGAAUUUACAGUGCACCGAAAUCUGGAAGAUGAAAUUAGGGAAGCGUAUUUACAGCCAUACUGCCUGGAAACAGGAAUGCGGGUUCGAAUCCCGUCAGGGCCA